CCCUUUCGGUACACACCCCCCGUCGCUACUACCGAUUGAAUGGCUCAGUGAGGCGUCCGAACUGGCCCAAAGAGGUGGGCAACUACCACUCAGGGCCGGAAAGUUCUCCAAACUCGGUCAUUUAGAGGAAGUAAAAGUCGUAACAAGGUCUCCGUUGGUGAACCAGCGGAGGGAUCAUUACCGAGUUAACAAACUCCCAAACCUUUGUGAACAUACCACUGUUGCUUCGGCGGGUUCGUCCCGGGCGCGCUUCACGGCGUGACCCGGACCCAGGCGCCCGCCGGAGGACCCCAACUCUUGUUUUUAUAGUGUCUCUUCUGAGUGGCAUAAGCAAAUAAUUAAAACUUUCAGCAACGGAUCUCUUGGUUCUGGCAUCGAUGAAGAACGCAGCGAAAUGCGAUAAGUAAUGUGAAUUGCAGAAUUCAGUGAAUCAUCGAAUCUUUGAACGCACAUUGCGCCCGCCAGUAUUCUGGCGGGCAUGCCUGUCUGAGCGUCAUUUCAACCCUCAGCGCCCGUCCGCGGGAGCUGGUGUUGGGGAUCGGCCGUCCUUGCGGCGGCCGGCCCCGAAAUCUAGUGGCGGUCUCCUCGCGACCUCCUCUGCGUAGUAACACUACCUCGCAGCUGGAUAGCGGUCUGACCACGCCGUAAAACCCCAACUUCUCAAGGUUGACCUCAGAUCAGGUAGGAAUACCCGCUGAACUUAAGCAUAUC
rnacentral:rRNA from 1 species